UGAGGAAUAUUGGUCAAUGGGCGCAAGCCUGAACCAGCCAUCCCGCGUGCAGGAAGACGGCCCUAUGGGUUGUAAACUGCUUUUCCAGGGGGAGAAUUUUUCUGUCGUGACAGGAAUUGACGGUACCCUGGGAAUAAGCAUCGGCUAACUCCGUGCCAGCAGCCGCGGUAAUACGGAGGAUGCGAUCGUUAUCCUGAUUGAUUGGGUUUAAAGGGUGCGUAGGCGGAUUGAUAAGUCAGUGGUGAAAACCUGCAGCUUAACUGUAGACUUGCCGUUGAUACUGUCAGUCUUGAGUGUGGUCAAGGUAGGCGGAAUGUGUAAUGUAGCGGUGAAAUGCUUAGAUAUUACACAGAACACCGAUUGCGAAGGCAGCUUACUGGGCCAUUACUGACGCUGAUGCACGAAAGCGUGGGGAUCGAACA
rnacentral:rRNA from 1 species